AAAAUACUAGAAAAACCACCAUACUAAACACAAAACACAAAGGAAAAAGUCAACAAACCAUUAAAACUAAACCAUUAUCAUAGGCUUCAUUUGUAAACUGUAACCAACAUAAUUCAUCUAAGUCUCGACCUCAACACUUUCACUAACCGUUGACCCCUUCUCACCCUCUUCAAACACCUUUGCAAUCUUAUCAAUCGGAACCAACGGUAAAUACUGUGCCACCACAUAACCUUUCUCCGCGGUAUAGCUAACGGUGUAAUUGUACUUCUCAAGCAAAUAAGCACCAGCGGGGACCGCAACAUGAGCCACCUGAGGAAACACCGGAAGUUUGUUCAACGAGCGCCACGUGGACACUGCGUAUUUCUCAGCUACUGGCUCGUAGUUUUUGUAGAGUUCUUUCGCGGUCGGCUCGUACUUAAUGUACAAUGUAUUGGCCACAUUUGUAGCCGUUUUGAGUGCCUCUAAUGCCAACGCUUUAGCCACUUCUGGAAGAUUCUGAGCCGCGUAUUUGGCUUGGCUUGAAGCCUGUUUCAUCAGUGAUGGCACGUGCCGGUUCAGUUCGGUCAUCAGGUCCCCCACCUGCACAUCUAGGAACUUGAGAGCCUCAAGAGGAAGCUCAUGAUACUUCUCAUAAACCGGUCCGACAACGGUUCGAACAGUGUUCUCAACGGUUUGAACACCAGGCUUCAACGAACCGGCGUUCUCCUUCGCAUAUCCAUAAACAGUCGAGAAACAAACAACAAAAUAGAUCACAGCGUUUUGCACAAAAUCAAGAUAUUUCAGAUGCUCUUC
rnacentral:lncRNA from 1 species